UCAGUUUUUUGUUUUAUUUCUGACACGUGUCACGAAAUAGUUGGCCAGUUUCCAACUAUUUCUUAUAGACUCCUCUUAUGACAGUUUGAUAUUAGAGAGAAGAAUAAAAUCGACUUUGAUUUUGAAUAACAUUUUAUCGGAUGAAUAUUUUGGGGAUAAUAAAUAGAAAUGGAAUUGCCGAUCAAAUAUUGUGUUCAGGUUCAAGCAGAUUUGGGUCGCAUCGCAAGUUGUACAAUUAAUUUAGGAAUUAAUUUUAA